rfam:Ipomoea nil DNA, scaffold: scaffold0164, cultivar: Tokyo-kokei standard.
GCUGGAGUAGUUUAGUUGGUUAGAGCAUGUGGCUGUUAACCACAAGGUCGAAGGUUCAAGUGCUUCUCUAGCG